ensembl:lincRNA
AUGGGGGAACUGACCCAUAUAUUUCACUCCCAUUCCUAUGAGGAAGGCAGCGAAGGAAACUUGUUUACACACAAGUCAAUACAACCAGAACAUUCUUUAUGCUUUCUGGCCAGAGCACUUUUCUCUGUGUCCACCACCUCUUGGGACUUGCUGAGACAAGUGGAAUCAAUGAGGAACUCAGAGACGGCUGGAGAGUCCCUCCUGGAGUCCGCUUUCAGGUAUGUGAUGAUGCCCAGACAGACAGGAAGGGUGGAGGGAGGGGGGAGAGACAGAUGGGGACCGGGAGGGGGUGACCGGAAGAGGGGAAGGCAGGGGAAUUUUACUUGCUGGUUUUCACCCUUCCAAGGAGAUCCUGUGAUAUGUUGACACAGAAUGUAGAACAUGGUUCCAAAAUGGAAAUAAGGCCUAGCUUCAGUCAAAGGAACAUGUGUUGGGCAUGCACUUCAGGUGAUUUUUGUCAAACUGUUUGGGGUACUGAUUUCCCUUCCUCUCUGCCGCUGAUCAUUGUUGCUGUUACUGAUCUGAUGGCCAAUAGCCAUGGCCAUCCGAGACAGGAUGUUCCUGGGGCAUUAAGAAGCUCCAUGCUGGGGGUUCCUGUUUGGGGGAAGUCUGUUUGAGGCCUUGAGUGGGAGAGGAAGGGAAGCAGUUCAAGACAACAAAAAGAGGCAUUGCAUUUAUUUUCUGCUGCAGAUAUUGUAUUUUGCUUUUCCCAAACCAUUGGCUGUGAAAAAGCCUACCAUUUUCAGGCUUUCCUCAGAACCCACAUCUCCUUCCCAUGUUGUGUCCAGAACAAUUUUUAGGGACAAUUGACUGGGGAAAUGUUUUGUGAAAAAACAACAGGAUGGACAAUCCUUAAUCAGUCCUUACAAAACAGAGCUUCUUCUGGAGGCCGAUCUUAGAAACCUCAAAUUAUAAAUUGUAGACCUUUUGAUUACUGAAUUAUAAUAAUUAAAUUACAGAGAAAUUUCCUUAACUGUAAGGUUGAAAGAAACAAAAUAACUGGUAAUUGGUCUCAACUGGAGUAAAUAAUGUCCUUCCUUUUAUUUACAUUUGGUUUUCCUAUAAACUGCCUACUGGGUUGUGUGGAACUUAGAUGCUAGCAAAAAACUGAAUCCCCAUCCAUCAGUAUUAAUCUCACACUUUACUGUGGCUCCAUCCAUUUAUCUUUCCGACACAAAUUAGAAAUUCAAGAGUUUUAACAAAUGAGCCUGCAAAUGUAAACUUAUUAGGCCAUAUAUUUUUACUACACACUGUGCAGUGCCCUCCACAAAGCUGUCCCUUCAGAGAGCAUUUUCCUAUUUUGUGUUAUUGAUGGCAGCUAACUAAUCACAUUUUUAAUGUUGUCUUUGGGGAGGGCUGUUUGAGUGAAUGUGCAAGCUAAACUACCCAGAAUAAAUCUACCUUAUUAAAUGCUUGAAAUUAUGUGUCUUUUACGAUAAAGAAACUCCCGAGCAUUGUUACAUUUGCUAACCUUCUUUCUGCAGGAAUCAAAAGACUGGGAUUAAUUAAAAUAAUACAUCAAAACUGGGGUGUUGUACAGAAUGUGUCUAUGUGUGUGGAAAGGCCAAGAAAAAUUGGUUAAUUGGUCUCUUCAUCCCUAUUCACUUUCCUACAUCUAAAUAGCUUUAAGUGUUGCUUUCUGAACAGAAACUAUAACAGGAGGAGGAAGACGCACUCUGCCUGCUGGUAGACAAUGGCUGGUCCCCACUCCCAGGAAAUUUGUUUUUAUUUACACAGUGCCUCUCUGAUUAACAAAGAACUCCAAAAAAUGUGAUCUCUAGAACUGGAUGCUCUAAAACAUAGAGAAAGUAACAAUACAUUAACAGCCCAGCAUUAUAUUUCAUCUAAACAAAAAUGCACAGAUUAUGCCUCUGAAAUAUGUCCUGUUUCAAAAGUGUCAAAAGGAAACAUUUAGAAGUCAACAUCUCUUCCCUGGAAGCCUAGGUUCUCCUUUCCUGCAGCAAUCAUGAGCAAUCUAAUGGUGGGCCUCCCUCUACAAUAUGUACAAUCAUUUCAUUAUUCUGAAGUGGUUUAAUUACCGGCAGGUCCUUUAUUACCGAGCUCAAGUGCUAAUCUGAGCCCUGAGUACAUCUGCUUUCUUUCUCUCAGCUUUGUAGGUUUUGUGCUCUCUGAAGCAAAUGCAUACAUGGCCACAAUUCUGGCUUGUCACAUAAAUUUCAAGGAUAACGAAUGAUGCUUAAGCUUGAAUAGAAGGAAUGGAGAUCGCCUGGGAAUCAGAGCUCUCAACAGCACAAGUGGUAUAAAUUUGGAAGCUGAAGCUGCACCAACACAUAUACUUUAGGACAUAAAGAGAUGUAACAGAAAUUUUUCUAAACGGGGCCAAAAAAAAUAAUUGCAAAGUGGGAGGUAAUAAAGGAAGAACUCGAUUUUUUGGCAAGUUAUUUUCUAAUUACUUGACUGUCCCACUUGAGAUGUAUGGGUUUUGUGAAACUGACAUUUAAACACAAUAAGCAUAUGCUCUUCAUAGAAAUUAAAGUCACAAGCAUUUAAAGACUGUGUAAUAGAUGGUUUUAGUGUUCCCCUGCAAUCAGAGCUCUUCUCUAUUACUUAUCUUGGAGGGGACACAUAAACUUGAUUAGUACUUAACCAGAGUAUAAUGGCUGAUAAAUUGGCCUUAAUGUUUCAAAACUAGACAAUGCUAAGGUUGCCUGGAAUUUAUUUCUUGACUACACAGAUACGUUCAUUUUUCUCACUUAGUCGCAGGAAUCAACAAUUUAAGAAUGCCUUGGAUCGCUUGAAGUUUAUUUCUUAUUUAUCUUGGAUUACUUAGAGGAAAGAUUUAGCUGUUAUCUCUAGCAAACCUGCAAAUGAAAGAGAGGUAAGGAGGGAUGAAUUAAAAAGAAAGUCAUGGUCGGUAAAGGGGAAAUCGACUGGAAGAGCCUUCUGCUUUAGGAUUUGGGUUGAGAAAUUCAGGGUAUUUAUUUAGUCACUCAGCAAAUAUUUAUUGAGUACCUACUAAGAGCCAGGGCCUGUGUCAGCUGUUGGAAAGACAUUAACUAACAUUUGUCCACAGUGAUGGCUUGUAAGUGCAGGAUUCUACAGAAUAAAGGCUAUUACAGAAACAUUAACGGACGGUUUGGGAGCUCAAAUAAUCACUAAAGUUCCUGCCUCUCAAAAUUGCAUUUGUUACAAUGCCUGGAUUCUAAAUUAUACUUGCUUUAGUUGCCUUCACACCGGGGUGGGGGUGGGGGGGUGGGGACUCCAUUCUGCUGUCAAUGUUAAUAGAAACAAUAUUUACAUAUUUUAAAUAUAUACAUUGUUACCUUCACUGUGAAACAGGUAAUACUCUACAUCACAGAAGAGCUUCUAAAAAGCUAGGCUUGCCUAGAAUUAAAUACUCACUUCAAAUAGCCCAUCUAAGGAAUAUUUACUCUUAAAGAGUACUCUGCAAUUAAUCCUUUAUUUAAGCAAAGAAUCCUUUUGGAGUUUGAGCAAUCCCCAUAUUUAUUUGCAGUAUAAGCCUGGAUUUUCAUAUAUUAGGUUUGAAUCACAAAAAUCUCAGUGAUGGGUCCCCAGGAAACAUAUUGUAUUAUGUCUUGUGCCAUGAUACUGCCUGUGCUUGCAAUGCAUAGAACAAAAGGCUUUAAAAGCACUAAUCCCUCUUGCCCUCAGGAUAAAGUCCAAACUCUUUAACCUUUCAUGGAUGGGUCCAUGCUUAAUCCUCCAGAUUCCCAUUGUGAUGUAACCUGGCGGACCUCUAGGUCCCUGGGUGACUACACUGGAUGUCCAAUGUGAACUAUAAAGAAAUAAGCUGUUUUCUUCCACUCUUGAAUCAAGGGGUUGUUUGUUAUGACAGCAUGGUGUCGCCUGACUCUCAGUCCUCUUGUAGCCAUAUCACAGACUGGCCUACAGCAAUGCUUUUAACACUGAAACACUCACGUGCUUCACAAUUUCACAAUUUUUUACACACUCAAAUAGUAUUUUUCAUUUAAAUCAAUUCAACUUUAUCUCCCUAAGAAUAUUUACUUUGAAAUACAA